CUAUUACAGCUUCGGUCGCAUCAUUCAUUCGGCCUUCGGAAUUACAGUCACCAAGCAGUCGGUCGAUGUACUUGCCGAAAUUGCAGAAGUUUGGAUAAGCACUGGAGCCGAGGGCAAACACAGCGAAGCGGACGUUGCUCAACGGACCAAAACUGUCUAUUGAUGUUGCAUCAGUUGCGCUUCCUAUAUUAAUUUCUAAUUGUUAAUAAUGUUAUUAAAAACGGAAUAAUCGAUUAUUUUAACACAUUAAAGAUGGGAUUGGAUUUAUAUUUAAGAUGUUAUUAGUAUUAGUGUUAAAUUUACAAAAUAAGUAACAUUUAUUUUAAUACAAAAAUACAUUUAUGACAUCAUUAGUA